UACGGGGGGAGCAAGCGUUGUUCGGAUUUACUGGGCGUAAAGGGCGCGUAGGCGGUCAGCACAAGUCAGUUGUGAAAUCUCCGGGCUUAACUCGGAGGGUGCGGCGGAGACUGGAGUGCUAGAGUGUGGGAGAGGUAAGCGGAAUUCCUGGUGUAGCGGUGAAAUGCGUAGAUAUCAGGAGGAACACCUGUGGUGUAGACAGCUUACUGGACCACGACUGACGCUGAGACACGAAAGCGUGGGUAGCAAACAGG
rnacentral:rRNA from 1 species